GACGAACCGUGCGAACGUUAUUCGGAAUCACUGGGCUUAAAGCGCGUGUAGGCGGAUGGGUACGUCGGCAUCUGAAAGCCCCCGGCUCAACCGGGGAAGUGGGGCCGAAACGACCCGUCUGGAGGGACGUAGGGGGAUCUGGAACUUCCGGUGGAGCGGUGAAAUGCGUUGAGAUCGGAAGGAACGCCUGUGGCGAAAGCGAGAUCCUGGACGUUUUCUGACGCUGAGACGCGAAAGCUAGGGGAGCAAACGGG
rnacentral:rRNA from 1 species